UUGGAGAUAAUUUGCAGCAAGGAAAAUUUGGGAACUUAACUAAACUUCUCAAGAUAAAAUGUCGAUUAAGUGAUGAUUUUAAUGUCAAAAAUAAAAAAAAGCAUGCCAGUAAACAUCACACUUUACGUCAAGAAAACACCAACAAGAACGGCGCAUGGAACACAGUUUCAUCAUGAUUAGUUCCAAUAUUCCAACAUUAAUCUCUCACACUAAUCAAACCAAACAGAGAUCCAAAUAAUUCAUGCUCAUUUACCAUCUAAAAAUAUCACCAGAAGAAUUUGAUGAACACACAAUCGACAUAAAACAUAAACUUGAAUCGAGAGGAAGUUAAACAUAAACAACUACUCUAAAGCUCAAACCACCCAAAACAAGUUCAAAUAAAAUGAAUGAUACAGAGAUAAACCUGUUAAGCCAAAAUUCUCUUCAAAAUUAAUGAAGUAGCAAUGAGUACACAGGCCUGAAGUCCGAGAAUUCAGCCGUGAAACAGCAAUAUAAAAACGAGCAAAAAUCGUGAUUAGAACCGCGGGCAGCAAUGGGAACCUCGACUCGACAUCGUAAAUCUCGAAUCGAACACGAACUCAAGCCCAUAUCUCACAAACGAGCUCCAAAAUGGACUAAACCUCCAACGCCAACUAGAGUUGAUAAUCAGCUGAAACCCACUGGUGGAAUGAUUUCUAGAGCAAUAAUCUGCUUUGCUCUGUUCUUGUUACAUAUUCGGAUCAAAUAAUUAGGAGAAAAUAGAAGGCAAAAUCAUUAUGAAAAUUCCCAGAGGUAUCAAAUCAAAUUAAAUAAAAAAAGUGAAGAAUCCCUAACAUUAAUCUUCAGUAGAAAUACGACAAAUCUUACGCCGAAGAUCAAUGUGGAGAUUCUGAAGCACUUGAAAACGGGAAAUUUCAGAUUCACAGCUUCCGUUUUUCACGUCAAUAUAUAGCAAAAGGAAGCAGAAAAAUAUAAGAAAUAUAUGUAAAUAUAGAUGGAGCCGGAGGGAGGUGUGGUCAUUUGAGGGUUGUCGCUGGUUAGGGGUGUGUGGUUGUAUUUUCCGGCAAUUUUUGAGAGAUUCAGAAGGUGGGUCAAGAAGAAGAAGCUUAUGCUUUUUCUAUGGAAAAGCGGUGGAUUUUUGUGUGUCUAUAGGUCUCGGGUCUAGAGUCUGAU
rnacentral:lncRNA from 1 species